rnacentral:rRNA from 10 species
UCGCCUGUUUUACAAAAACAUCGCCUCUUGAACUAGAUAAGAGGUCCAGCCUGCCCAGUGAAAAUAUUCAACGGCCGCGGUAUCCUAACCGUGCGAAGGUAGCGUAAUCACUUGUUCUUUAAAUGAGGACUAGUAUGAAUGGCACCACGAGGGUUUUACUGUCUUCUUUUUUUAAUCAGUGAAACUAAUCUCCCCGUGAAGAAGCGGGAAUUUAAUUAUAAGACGAGAAGACCCUAUGGAGCUUUAAACAAACAACAUUUGCUGCACAUAACACUUUUACUUUUAAAAAGUAUAGCAUUAUGAUUUUUAGUUUUUGAUUGGGGUGAUCACGGAGCAAAAUGAAACCUCCACGCCGAAAGGGUUGUACCCUGAGCAAAAAGCUACAGCUUUAAGCACUAAGAAAUUAACGCAAUUUGACCCAAUAUUUUGAUCAACGAACCAAGUUACCCUAGGGAUAACAGCGCAAUCCACUUCAAGAGCCCCUAUCGACAAGUGGGUUUACGACCUCGAUGUUGGAUCAGGGUAUCCUAGUGGUGCAGCCGCUACUAACGGUUCGUUUGUUCAACGAUUAAAACCCUACGUGAUCUGAUUCCCAAACCGGGA